rnacentral:rRNA from 1 species
AUUGAACGCUGGCGGCAGGCCUAACACAUGCAAGUCGAACGGUAACAGGAAGAAGCUUGCUUCUUUGCUGACGAGUGGCGGACGGGUGAGUAAUGUCUGGGAAACUGCCUGAUGGAGGGGGAUAACUACUGGAAACGGUAGCUAAUACCGCAUAACGUCGCAAGACCAAAGAGGGGGACCUUCGGGCCUCUUGCCAUCGGAUGUGCCCAGACGGGAUUAGCUAGUAGGUGGGGUAACGGCUCACCUAGGCGACGAUCCCUAGCUGGUCUGAGAGGAUGACCAGCCACACUGGAACUGAGACACGGUCCAGACUCCUACGGGAGGCAGCAGUGGGGAAUAUUGCACAAUGGGCGCAAGCCUGAUGCAGCCAUGCCGCGUGUAUGAAGAAGGCCUUCGGGUUGUAAAGUACUUUCAGCGGGGAGGAAGAGAGUAAAGUUAAUACCUUCGCUCAUUGACGUUACCCGCAGAAGAAGCACCGGCUAACUACGUG